rnacentral:rRNA from 1 species
UCGAGCGGAAACGAGUUAUCUGAACCUUCGGGGAAUGAUAACGGCGUCGAGCGGCGGACGGGUGAGUAAUACCUGGGAAUAUGCCUUGAUGUGGGGGAUAACCAUUGGAAACGAUGGCUAAUACCGCAUAAUCUCUUCGGAGCAAAGAGGGGGACCUUCGGGCCUCUCGCGUCAAGAUUAGCCCAGGUGGGAUUAGCUAGUUGGUGAGGUAAUGGCUCACCAAGGCAACGAUCCCUAGCUGGUCUGAGAGGAUGAUCAGCCACACUGGAACUGAGACACGGUCCAGACUCCUACAGGAGGCAGCAGUGGGGAAUAUUGCACAAUGGGCGCAAGCCUGAUGCAGCCAUGCCGCGUGUGUGAAGAAGGCCUUCGGGUUGUAAAGCACUUUCAGUAGGGAGGAAGGUGUUGUCGUUAAUAGCGGCAUCAUUUGACGUUACCUACAGAAGAAGCACCGGCUAACUCCGUGCCAGCAGCCGCGGUAAUACGGAGGGUGCGAGCGUUAAUCGGAAUUACUGGGCGUAAAGCGCAUGCAGGUGGUGAGUUAAGUCAGAUGUGAAAGCCCGGGGCUCAACCUCGGAACUGCAUUUGAAACUGGCUUACUAGAGUACUGUAGAGGGGGGUAGAAUUUCAGGUGUAGCGGUGAAAUGCGUAGAGAUCUGAAGGAAUACCGGUGGCGAAGGCGGCCCCCUGGACAGAUACUGAC